CGUGUGUCGCCGGGCACUCGUGGCUUGGGCACAGCCGCCUGAGAGCUGCGGCUGGGCGAGGGGCGAGGAGGAGACCGCCGGCUCCGUGUCGCGCUGCCCUGCACCUGCGGGCACGGUCGGAUGAAGGUGUGAGCUAAGCUAGAGCAGAGGGGUGGGGGGGGAAGUAAUAAUAAUAAGGCUGCCCCUUCAGAUGAUAUGUUGGGAGGAGGCUGGAGCUGGAAGAGCAACUGUGACACUUGUGAUCACCAUGUGGUGAGCAGAGGAAACUCCCCUCUCUUCCACCCUCAUGUCAAGAGCCUGUGCUCAAGAAGCAAAGUAUGAAGUGAGGCAUGGAUGCAAACAUCUCUUCCUACUAGCAGCCCAAGCAUACAUCGACCUGGAAGAGUGUUUAUACAAGCAUGAAUCAAAACAGAAGGAAGGGCAGGUAGACAUUACCUCUGAGCAGGAGGAAUGCUUCACCUGGUGAAGCUGGAGCCAACUAGACUCCAAAAUUGCCUAAGAGCCUUCCCAAACUACAACUUUACAGCUGCUAUCUCAAAUCAUUCUCUAAACAAGGUCUCACAUCCCAUGUUUUUGACAACUCUCUCCACACCAAAACAACUUGAGUUUAAGACUAGUCCAGGCUGGAAACACAUGUACCUUUUGAGGUUAAUGUAGUGGACUCCAUGUUUCUGUCUCUUGGGUAAGUUUCUAUAUUUUAAAAAGUAGAAGCACUACCCCACAUGUGUAUGAUGUGACAGCACGUGUCAAUUAAAGGUGUAAAAAAUGAUUACAACAAGAUGCUCUGAUUUGAGUAACCACAGAGAAGCCAAAGGGCUUGUGGUUCUAUGACAAGAUAAUUCAGAAAAUCACAAGGCAGUGUGACAUCUGGAGUGAAGAAAGACUUGUGGCAAUAUUUUCUUAAGGAUUG